GGUGGGGUCAGGUGCUAAGCAGGUAGGACCUUAGGAUCUUCAAACCUGUUUCCAUGGGACUAGCUCCUUGCUUUUGUUUGUUUGUUUGUUUGUUUGCUUAAUGAAAUAAUAAUUUGUGCCAUAUAUAUAUAUUUCACUGUUCUUAAAAGUUACAAAACCAUGGCUGCAGACCAAGUCAGCCCUUAGACAAAGAAGCCCCAACCAGUUUCAUAGUCAGAAGUCAAACAGAGUUGGGGAAUGUUACAGUUGGGAAUGUUACAGUUGGGGAAUGGAAGCAGAUGAGCUUCCAUAUGGAAAAUUCUUCUUCUAUUAGAAUCCUAAGGAGAACAGAAUGGACUAGAAUCCGGGCCUUUGGCAAUGUCUAAGGAUGCUCGCAUCGCCCACAGAAGGAGUAGCUGCCAUGUCUUAGAGACGCACCUCCCUCUUGGACCACACAACAGAAGUUUAUCAGUGGAUGGGAUUUCAAAGCCGUGGUUGGAAGACAGAACCUAGCAACUCAACAAAGCCCUUGACAAGAGAAUAUAAAGUGAUAUGAAAUCAAGUGUUGAAUGGGGUGUUAGGAGGGCCCCUGCAACAUGAGAAGCAUCCCACAAAUGACUCUGGUUAAUAUUUAAAACUCACUGGGAGUGUUCUUCCCCAAAUCAUGUAAGA
rnacentral:lncRNA from 1 species